CAUAGCCUUUAGCCCGACAAGUAUUAAAGGUAAUGCCUGCCCAGUGAAUAUUUCAACGGCCGCGGUACCCUAACCGUGCAAAGGUAGCGUAAUCACUUGCCCCCUAAAUAGGGGCUAGUAUGAACGGCUAAAUGAGGGCCCUUCUGUCUCCUUUGGCCCCCCAAUGAAAUUGAUCCCCUAGUCCAAAAGCUAGGAUAAACACACAAGACGAGAAGACCCUGCGGAGCUUAAAACACGCGCUGCCCCCACAAAAUAGUAGCACUUGUUUUUAGUUGGGGCGACUAUGGAACAAACAAAACUUCCACGAAUCGGACUGACCUCCACCACAGGCUCACACGCCUUAGCCGACCCAGUAUUACUGAUCACCGGACCAAGUUACCCCAGGGAUAACAGCGCCAUCCCCUUAAAGAGUCCAUAUCGCCAAGGGGGCUUACGACCUCGAUGUUGGAUCAGGACCCCCAGGCGGCGCAGAUGCUGCUAAUGGUUCGUUUGUUCAACGAUUAAAGUCCUACGUGAUC
rnacentral:rRNA from 1 species